AUCAAUCUGACGAGUCCCAGAUGGGACGAAACGCGUAUCGUGGAU
rnacentral:hammerhead_ribozyme from 1 species